AACGAACGCUGGCGGCGCGUCUUAAACAUGCAAGUCGAACGGCAGGAAGGGGCUUGCCCCUUCUGAGAGUGGCGGACUGGUGAGUAACACGUGGGUGACAUACCUUUUAGUUGGGGAUAGCUAUUAGAAAUAGUAGGUAAUACCGAAUGUGACCGUACCUGUUAGAGGGGUACGAGGAAAGGAGCUAAGGCUUCGCUAAAAGAAUGGCUCGCGGCCCAUUAUGCUCGUUGGUGAGGUAACGGCCCACCAAGGCGAUGAUGGGUAUCCGGCCUGAGAGGGUGAACGGACACAUUGGGACUGAGAUACGGCCCAGACUUCUACGGGAGGCAGCAGUUAAGAAUAUUCCGCAAUGGACGAAAGUCUGACGGAGCGACGCCGCGUGGAUGAAGAAUGCCGAAAGGUUGUAAAAUCCUUUUAAGCCCGAUGAAUAAGCACAGUAGGGAAUGAUUGUGCGGUGACCGUAGGGCUUGAAUAAGCACCGGCUAAUUACGU
rnacentral:rRNA from 1 species